rnacentral:rRNA from 1 species
UGCGCAGGCGGCUUAUUAAGUCAGUGGUGAAAUCUCUCGGCUCAACCGAGAAACUGCCAUUGAAACUGAUAAGCUCGAGUGUAGUUGUAGUAGGCGGAAUAUAGCAUGUAGCGGUGAAAUGCUUAGAUAUGCUAUAGAACACCGAUCGCGAAGGCAGCUUACUAAACUAUUACUGACGCUCAUGCACGAAAGCGUGGGGAGCAAACAGGAUUAGAUACCCUGGUAGUCC